rnacentral:rRNA from 1 species
CACGGGGGGAGCAAGCGUUGUUCGGAAUCACUGGGCGUAAAGGGCGUGUAGACGGUCUGGUAAGUGGGAUGUGAAAGCCCCCGGCUCACCCGGGGAUCUGCAUUCCAAACUGCCAGACUUGAGUAUGGGAGAGGACAGGGGAAUUCCUGGUGUAGCGGUGAAAUGCGUAGAUAUCAGGAGGAACACCGGUGGCGAAAGCGCCUGUCUGGCCCAAUACUGACGCUGAUGCGCGAAAGCUAGGGGAGCAAACGGG